UCAGAGGAGGAAAUGAAGUCUCUGCAGAUCCACUUCUUCCGUUCAUGAAGAAAGGAAUCAAAGAUGCAAAAUGUAAGAAGCUCUUCAUAGAUCUACCAAGAUGAAUCAAUCACCUGUUAAUUACCACAGAUCAGCAGUAGCACCCACCCAGGCGCUUUGGGUUUAUACCCAAGG